GCAAGUGUAAUUUCUUUCUACUUUCGUACUGGAGACUUUUUUGGCUGAUCACAUAGGACACUAGUUGACAUAUCAUCCAGUAUUAAUUAAAACGUGUGGGAACAAAAGGGGAUGUUAUUUAUUUAUUUAUUUAUUUUCAGAAAUAAGAUGAAGGACCCUACGCCCCUACCGGUCUGGAAUUCCUCUUGGGUUAACCCGGCCCGAGGUACUUACUUUGGGAGGAGGAGGGAAGGAUAAGGGGAAACUCUCCUCCAAAGUUAAAUCUUUUGAAGUGUACAAGGGUCAAAAUUUAAUUAACUUGACCCGGGUCGCAUAUGUGACCUAAGGUCAAGUGCAUUAAAAUUGGAGGUGGGACCGACUUCUGCUCCACUUGCGAUUACAUCGGCUGUUUGCAUGCAAAUAUUUGAUGUAAUUUGUACCGUGAUUAUAUACUGUAUGCAUGUAACAAAUAUUUCAAGUUGUUGAGCUCAUGUGAACCUGCCACGAAUGCAAGCAUGUAAUUAAUUUUUUUAUUUUUUUUUUGUUUUUCAUUUUGCAUGAUAACAAUCCAGUUAUGUAUAAAUUUUACUUCAUUGUGUUAUAUAUGUAUGUUUAAGAUUA